AGCAAAACUGCUUUACGCUGGGAACGAAAAAGCCUUUGAGUGGCACGGAGUGAGUAAGUGGAGGGAUCUGAGGAACGCUGAAAAGUACAUUCCUUCUGCUUUCACAGUGCUGUGGGUAAAUCACUGGUAUCUGGACUCCCACCAGUGAGUUGUCAUUACAAGACUCAGGAGUAAACAGUGAGCGAGAGGAAUAUUGAAACCAAGUUGCCAUGAAGUAGGGAAUCAGCAUCUGUUGCUGCUAAGGACUUUCCCCCUCCCUUCCCCUUCUAUUAUUUUCGGAGCUGAGGAAAAAAGAAAUAAUGAGUGCAUUGUAUACAGUGUUACUGGGAAUAGAGUUUCAGGGCAACAGCAAAAAGGAAAGAAGAUCUUAACAAGAUAGAGUUGGAGCAGAUGAAAAAGUCCUUUCCUUAUCCUGUGGCCCCAGCACCAAAACACUGCAAAAAAUCAUUAUGUUUCAGAGACCUGGAAGCUGCUUGUUAGAAGAGGAAAGAGGCAGCAGAGCUGGUGGCUAAGAGAGGAUAGAACCCAGCUCUAGUUAAUAGAUGCAGGACCCGGAUGGCGUUUGGCAUGGAAUUUCAAUUCAGAAAGUGCGAAAGAGACAGCUCCCCCCAGCCUCAUUUGGGAUACGUACUGCCACCAGGACACAAAGGUGUUGCUUUGAGCCUCGGCUGCAUUAGCAGAUGCUAUGCCGUAGGGCAACACCGAACAUUUGUAAUUGGAUUCUAUCACUGGAGUUAAUUAUAAAGAGACAAUAAAAACUGCUUGGCUUCUGUUUUAGUAACUAUUACUUUGUGUUGAAAUCCUUUGUUUGGGGAGGGGUAGAUAUUUGUAGUUUUAAUUUAACGUGAAGCCUUUGUACAUAUUAUAUCUGUGCAUUUAUACACAGACAUGCUACACACAUAGACACAUUUUAUAUUAUAUAUGUGUAUCUGUAUUAAUAUGAGUGUGAUAUAUAUAUAUUUAUAUAAAAUAUACCAUAUCACAUCACACACACAAAAAAUAUGUAUAUACACUUAGAGCCAUACCUAUAUAUAAUAUGAUAUGAGGCAGGAAGACAGAUUUCUCUGCUCUUCUGGGAGACCAGAUUU